CCUACGGGUGGCAGCAGUGGGGAAUAUUGCACAAUGGAGGGAACUCUGAUGCAGCGACGCCGCGUGAGUGAAGAAGUAAUUCGUUAUGUAAAGCUCUAUCAGCAGGGAAGAAAGUGACGGUACCUGAAAAAGAAGCUCCGGCUAAAUACGUGCCAGCAGCCGCGGUAAUACGUAGGGGGCAAGCGUUCUCCGGAUUUACUGGGUGUAAAGGGAGCGUAGACGGUGCAGCAAGUCUGAUGUGAAAGGUCGGGGCCCAACCCCGGGACUGCAUUGGAAACUGUUGAACUGGAGUACAGGAGAGGUAAGCGGAAUUCCUAGUGUAGCGGUGAAAUGCGUAGAUAUUAGGAGGAACACCAGUGGCGAAGGCGGCUUACUGGACUGUAACUGACGUUGAGGCUCGAAAGCGUGGGGAGCAAACAGGAUUAGAUACCCGAGUAGUC
rnacentral:rRNA from 1 species